GGCCACCCCGUGGUCACUCCCCCGACCUCCUGCAGCCCGCCUCCGCCGUCCCGGAGCUCCCCGGCCGCCGCCGUGGCCGCAGCAACUCCUGGAACCCGAGCCCGAUCUCGUGCGGGCUCGGUUUGCUCCGCCGCCGCCGCCGCCGCUUCCAGCCGCCACCUGAGGUGAGCACGGUGUUCCUCACCUCCCCCUCACCCGACUCAGGGCCCCGCGCGCGCCGCCGUGCCGCCGGAGGCCGGCCGGAGCAAGGUUGCUCCGGCCAAGCCCGAAAUAGGGCUUAUUUGAGUGGGUUUCUUGUUCUGGGCUUCCCGAGCUUCCCCGAUCUCUACGGAAGGGAGCACGAUGAUCCUGGCAAGUUGCUGAUCAUCGUGCUCACCUUGGUUUCUGUCGGGAAGGCCCCGUUCCGCUGUUUUGGCGAUGUCGCUCCGUUUCAGCCUUUUUGGCUGCUGUUUCGGGUUUGUGCUUGUUUUUCCGGCGAUCCGAGGCUGUUCCGAUGCCUCCGGAGGUGAGCACGGUGACCGCUGGUCAGUGCUGAUCACAAUGCUCACCUUCCCUUGGAUCAGAAGUGUCCGGUUAGUUCUGUUCGGCGCGAUCUUCCCUGACUGCGCGCUAUUCGCUGAACCUUCGGGUUGCUCCCGCGCUUCCCACAGCGAGCCGCUGUGCUCCGGAUCGUGAGCACGGACUCCGGUACGUCGAGACCUGUCAGUACGUGUCUCUGCGGACUUCGAAAGUCCUCGGUUUGCGUGAACGAGCCGCUUGAUCGCUCAAAUUACAUAAAAUGAUGAUAUUUUAUGUAAUUAGAGGGUCUUUUAUGCAUUUGUGCUUUGCGUGGCUACUGUGGGCAGUGUGUGGGAGUUUGUAAUGACCGCUGGACUGAUUGUCCAUGGUCCGUUAGCUUUCGCGGAAAUCGGUAGGUCGAUUUCGGUGCGUUUUUCGGCGAAAUUCGCCGAAAGAACGCGGUUUCGGUUCGGAUUCUUUCCGACGGUGUUUGGUUGCUUCGUGUUUUGUCGCUGAGCCUUGUUGGCUGGUCACCAUCGUCAUUUUGUGGGUUCGAUGAUGAUAGGUGAGCGACGGAGGGUUCCGGUGUCGAAAUAGACACUUCCGGGAACCCGGAUUCGUACGAUUAUCCGGCGAUGAUCGUAUUGUUGUGUGACCUUGUGUUCGCUGCCAAGGCAUCCAAAUUGGAAUGUUUUGGGGCAGCGGGUGACUCGUGGUACGAGUCGGUGAGUUCGGGACACUUAGUGGGUCCCGACGGCGUCCCGGUGUGGUUUUCGGGACUUCCGGUGAGUUACGGUAAUCGGUUUUGGGAAACCGAUUACGGGGAUCCUGUGUGGGGGUUUGUGAGUCUCGUGCUUUGGGUUAGUGGUUUGGAUACUGACUUGGUGGAUCUUCUUAGGUCCGGUAGACUCUGUGCGUACCCAGUGUUCCGACGCGACAGUGACAGGUGGGUGCUUCGAGCUGGUAGUCGGUGAGAGCGUUUCACCUCCUUCUCCUGUUUUUCUAUUCCAGUAUAUUAGCUCUACAUGUCAGUUGUUUGGUUAUCGUUUGGUUAUCGUAUUUCGUUGACUGCAUUGGUUAGUGAUUGAUAGACAUGUAGAGCAGGUUGCAUUUGUAUUUCAGUAUCUCUGUGGACCUUGGGUCCAGGCAACACAUCGACUCUCUUGUCGUGUGUUUCGAUCUGGUUGAUCGAGGUUCGGCGUUGUACGCCCUAGCUUCUAUUUCAGUUUGGCAUUGUACGCCCUCGUUGUUGGCUUCGGCCUAGGCACCGGCUUUAGCCGGGUUUGUUUUUGUUUGAGCAUACCAGCAUGACUUAGUCACGGCACUUGGGGGUAUUCAUGACACCGGAUCGGUUUGGCCACCGAUCGGAGGUGUACUUAUCCGGAUAGGUCGUCCUGCGGGGCGGAUGGAUCAGGUCGGUGCAGUUAGUGACAGGCAGCGCUUGAGGUCUGCGGACCAAUACAGCAGGCACAGAUUGUGUACAGUUUCUAUUCAGUACUUUGAGGCAUUCUUUGCAUUGUUAUCUAUACAGUAGCAGGUUUGUUUAUUGCUUCUUAUUUAUCUGUUGUAGCUACUGUAGUUCGUUUUCAUAUAUCGGUAUCUAUAUUUGUUUAUCUAUCUCCUUUGGUUUCCGGUGAUUACGGCUUGCCUUCGUGGCUCUGUCGUACCCACUGAGAAAACCAUGGUUGCGGUUUCUCACCCCCCAUUUCCCCCCCCCAGGUGAUAUAGACGAGGAGUUGGAUUUUGGGCUCGACGAGAGGACGAUCUAGCUAGUAUAGUAUAGCGAUCGCCACCCUGGUUGUAUUUCUUUCCCGCCUUUAGUAGUCAUUUAAAUAAUGGUUCAGUUAGCUGAUUUUUAUGAUUGUUUGAAUGUGGUGAUCUGGUUUUGGUAGAUCUGUGGAUGCUUUCAUUAUUUAUGCAUGUGAACUGAGGUUUGUGGAUUUGGAUUUUGAUUCUAUGGAUAUCGGAUUUUCUUGUAUUUACAUAUCGUGAUUUUCUACCCCUCGAGGUAGUUGAUUUUCAAAAUAGAGUUUCCGUGUGGGAAAUAGUUUUAAAAAUGUUUUCGAAUGAUUUUCAUAAUGAAUGAAUUAGAGUUUAAAAAUAAAAGCUUCCGUGUGGGGAGCACUUUUAAAUAGGAUGAUUGUUGUACUGUGCAUCGCAUCAUCCAGCGCCUAAGGAGUGCUUAGAGGCAUGCAUCAUUUCUAAGGAUUGUUAGCUGUAUGAAAAUGCAUAUCAUGAAUUGGUUGUUGAUUGGUAACUGUAGGUUGUGGUUGUGAUCCUGUUGUAUAGUUGGUACGCCGUGCAAAUACAAAGGAGACUCUGUCCGAGUGGACAGAUGAACUUUGUAUUUGUGGCGGGUCUGUACGUCACGUGGGCCAGGUUGAAAA
rnacentral:lncRNA from 1 species